rnacentral:lncRNA from 1 species
AGGGCCAAUUCUUCAGCCAUCUCCAGCAACAAGUUUGUAAGCACCGUUGGAAUUAAACUUCUUUAUUACAUAUGGGCCAUCCCACUUGGAAGUAAAUUUUAUUUCCUCGUCGCUAUGUGUGGUGAUGAUGGGUCCUUCUCACAUCAAGUACCAAGUCUCCAUUUUUGAAUGACCGGGGGCAAACUUUUUUAUGAAGGCUCUAGAAAGGCGAGCUUGAUAGCAUUCCAGCCGUUGUUUUGUGCUUCAAGCCUAUUUUCAUCAAGUGCUUCCAAUUCUUCAAGCCGUAGACGAGCAUUUUCUUCUUGCGUGAGAUCUUCUUGAAUGGCCCCAAAAAAAAAAACAAAAAAAAAAUUUUCCCUUAAUGAUGGAAUUUGCGCUCAAGCGGCAAAACAGCUUCCACCCCGUAAAUCAGCGAUAUGGAGUAGCUUGGGUUAUGUUGAUGAGUUGUUCGAUACGCCCAAAAGCUUCUCCAUUCUCUCGUGCCAAUCUCUUUGUGACUUGGCUACCACUUCUUUAACAGAUUUCCCAAUGUUUUGUUGAAUGCUUUCGGCGAGACCAUUUGGCCUGUGCAUUGUACAUGGAAGAUUAUGUUGCUUAAAGCAAAUUUUCACAAAAUUUAUUCAUCAACUAUUAUAAAAUGGCUUCCAUUGUCUGUAUGAUGAAGCGCGGCACACCUAUCUAAAAAUAAUGUUUGUACGAAUGACCCCCCCCCCUCCACAACGGUUUUUUUCUUUCUUUACCUCCUUAGUGGCACAGCUUCAAGCCCAUUUGGAGAAAGUAAUCAGUUGCAGCUGAAUAUAAAAGACAUGCAGAAGAUUAGGCAACGGCCCUACUACAUCUAGCCCCAAUGCAUCAAAUGGCCAAGAUGCAACAGUUUGAUGGAGCGGCUUCUGGCGGUUGAUUUAUGAUUUGCAUGAAAUUGACAUGCUUGACACCUCUUUGACUCAAGACAGUCUUUUACCAUGGUUGGGCCAGUACUAGCCCAUUCUCUUGAUUCGAAAAUGAAGCUUGGGCCGGACUGGUGAGCCCCCCCCAAAAAACCACAUAUACCAGAGUGAACUUCUUCUAAGGCUUUAUUUGGCUUCGUUUUCUUCCAAGGCACGAAAAAAGCAGUCCCCUCAAAGGAACGACGAUAACGUGUACUAUUGUGUAAAUAAACGUGGAGCACGUCGCCGGGGCGUCCUUACGUCAGUUUUUCUAUGCGGAUUCUCAGGCAACUUCCCAGUUUGUAGAUAAUCAAUGAGUGAUUGCCCGCCACCUCUUUCUCGAUUUCAAUACCGAAAUGGCAUUAGCCUCAUUUCAUCAUUAUAUUCAGCAUCAAAGUUUGGGGAAAUUACCCAUCCUGACAUAUGAAAUACGAGCCUUUUACGUUGGGUAGCGCAUAGAAUAAUGCAGUUUUUGCCAGUGCAUCUGCUUGUCUAUUCUUUGUUCUCGGCACAUGCUCUAUAAGUGACACACCAAGCCAUCCAAUCAUUCGGUGGCAUAAUUAUAGUAUGGCACCAUUUCCAGGUUUUCUCACUUCAUAAAUGUUAAUAAGUUGAUUAAUUAUCAACUUAGAGUCCCCUAUACUUCAGCCGCAGCUGCUUCUGUCACACAACCAUUUCUAGUCCGAUUAAUGAGAGCUUGAUAUUCAGCUUCAUUAUUUUAGCAUAAUUUGUAAAGUGAAGGCGUAAGGUAGCACGUCUCCUUUCCGGGUGAGAAACACUACACCAGCCCUAUACACCCUCACGAUGAGAAGCACCAUCAAAGUCUCUUCCAUGGUAGUUUGCACUUGAAUUAAAAUGACGUCUUCUCUGGUAAAUUCUUCAACAAUUCCAAUCAGCAGGUAUUGGAUGAUCAGCAGAAUCAGCUAAGCUUGUCCUUGAUAGCCUUUUGAGGCACAUAGAUGAUCUCACUCUGAAGGAGAAGAGACCAUCUUGCUAAUCGAUCAGACAAGACUGGUUUUGUCAUGAUGUACUUGAAGGAUUAGCUUUAGAUAUAAGAUGACCGUGUUGUGCUUAAAAGAUGUGGCGCAACUUUGAACAUCAAAGACCAGAGCUAAAGCACAUUUUCUCAAUUGGUGAAUAUUUAGCUCGCAUCGUCCAUCAUUUCUACUCAAGUAGUAAAAGGCAUUUUCUCUUCCUUCGUCAAUUCCUUGAGCAAGAAGAGCCCCUACUGAACGCUCUUGAGCGGCGAUAUACAAUUAAUGGUCGUCCACGAAUAGGAGCCAACCACACUGGAGUUUCCAUUAAAUAAGCCUUGAUACUCUCGAGGCAUUAUUGCAGGCUUCAUCCCAUUUCCUUUUUCAUGAGGCACUGAAUGGUUGAACAACGACCAUCCAAAGUUGAUAUGAACCGACGAGAUAAGCCAACCUCCCUUGCAAACUUUUGAGUUCGUGAUAUUUCGAGUUCAGGCACCUUCAAAAUAGUUUCAAUCUUCGAUUGCUCAAUCUCUAGCCACGACUCGUACAAUGAAAUCCCAAGAAUUUUCCAGAUGUCACUCCAAAGGCACACUCAAAUGGUUCAUCUUGAGUUGUAUCGUCGGCAAUCUAUCCAACACUUUCGUCAAAUUUUUCCAGAUGAUUUUUGGAUCUCUCGUUUUCACAACUAGCUCGUCAACUAUAACAUUCAACAUUUUUUUGUGAAGCAUGUCAUCGAAAAUCUUUUGCAUUGCUUCUUUGAUAUGUUAGUCCGGCAUUCUUUAACCCAAAAAGGCAUGACUUAUAACAAUAGAUUCCUUUUGGCGUACGAAGGCCGUCAACUCCUCAAUCUCGUGACAAAUCCAUUCGAUUUGAUUGUAGCCAAGAACCUCCAUAAAGAUAAUGCCUCAUGUCCAGUAAGUAGCGUCUAUCAUGAGCUCAUUUAUAGGCAAUGGAAAGGCAUCUUUUGGACAAGCCUUGUUAAGUCUCGAAGUCAACAAAAAUUCGAAUUGGUCCAUUUUUCCUCUUAACAGGGACAAUACUUGAAAUCCAUGUUGGGUCACUUGACUUCUCGAAUAAAGCCAGCUUCAUAAGCUUGUUGACCUCUGUUUCAAUCUUAGGAAUUAAUUCUGGUCGAAAGCGUCGUUGUGCUUGUUUGAUCGGUCGAACGCCGCGUUUUACUGCCAAGUUUUUAUGGACCCCACUUUGGAUGCUAGUUUCCAGCAAAUUCUUUAUAACUCCAAGUAAAGACAUCCUUGUAUCAGACAACAACUCAAUAUACAUUUUUUGUUCCUCAGAAGUGGAAGAGCGCUUUAGUUGUAACUGGUCGGGUCAUCUAAUGUGCCAAGGUUAAUUUCUUCAGUCAUCAACAUGGAUUUAACACCUUCUUGAAUGCUAGCGAGCAUCCUCCGCAUCGUCCUCAGAGAAUUUUCUCCAUCAAGAGCAGUAAUGUGGUAUGAACAUGCAUCACUUUCUUCAAGGGCCCGGGACGUCUGAUGGCGCGGGGGUUUGGGGAGAGUUUUGGUAACUACGCAUGUUUUAGUCUCAUCUUCAAUACUUUAUCGGUAGUCACUACCAGAUAUAUGGCGUUUCAUACGGAUGGUAUUGCACUUCUGCAGCUUUUUCAUCAUCCUCCAAGAAGAAAUUAUAUUUUUCCUUUUUCUUACUUCUUUGGGUUUAGAAAGACUUGAAACACCCACACCUCUCAUGCACAACCUUCGUGAAAUAGGUUGAUGUAGGGACCGGCUUGAUGCCCUAAUCGAUCAAAUACUUAGUUUCUUGACUUUGGGCUUACCCAGACGAUCAAAAACCAGAGGGUUUUAAUUGAAGUUGGUAUGCAUUUUCUUCAGCUGUGAUUAUGGUGAUUGCUUGACUUCUUUAUCACAAUACGCCCAGGAGCAGGUGGGGUGUUACCAAGGCCAAUAUGAGAAUUUUGAACACAUACCCCUUUUGCGUGAGUUAUGUUUUGAGUGAAUUCAACCUGCAUAUUUUCUCCAAUGACUUCCAGAUGAUAAGUGUUUUCCCUAAGCAGUUGAACUCUUGAGGGCUAUAUCCACCUUUGCGAGAGUUUGUCAGGCAAUUGGAUCAAACCUUUCUUUGUCGUUUGUGAAGCAUAUCACUAAUGCUCCAUUUUCAAAACUUUGUUGGCGGUCGUGUAUGAACCCUUCAAUGGCGUAGAAAGUUUUGUCCUGGUAAAGCGGUGAUAGGAAAAAGUCAAUCCUUUCAAAACUUGUUCCUCACUAUUUCUUAACUGGGCAUAUAUCGAAUAACUAGGCGCUUUUGAGUUUUAUCUUCAUACUUCCCUUAUCCUUGUUAUGAUUUGUCUUAAUUUUUGUCAAUGAAGUAAAGUUUUCAAGGGUUGAACUUCAUUACCCUUUUGAAACCUUGUAGAUUGAUUAAGAGACGACUGGUUUGAAUCUUUCAUAGAUAUUUGCCAUAUAAACUUUAGCAUCAGCAAACUAUGAUUCCUGUUUCAAUAGUGAAAGGUUUUGCCAUGCACAAUCCUUUUUACGACACCGUUACUACAAUACGUGAAACAUUGGUGGAGGGUAGAUGGUCAACACCAUUCUCAUGGAGCCAAGGUCGUCCUAGCAAUAAAAAAAACAUGUUGUAUGAAGUCUUAGCAUCAAUGACGUGGAAUAAUGCACUGAUGUCAUGUCAUCGAUAGUAAGUCAAGACGAAGAACUCCAAUAGCUCUUUGUUCCUCCUUGAGUAAACCCUGUUCAUCCAAGCGACUAGGGGACAACUCCUCCAUCGUGAUGCCAAGUUUUUCAUAAGCAUGAAGAGACAAAUGUUGACAUCUGAUCCACCAUCCAGUCAAUCCUAUUGAUUCUUUGCUCUCGCGUAUAUCCGGUGAUGAAGAGAGGAUGAUGUGUGGCGUUGAACCAAGCAACAAAUCCUUCGUCUGCAGAAAGUAAUGUUUAACAAUGCAAGUACACAAUUAUUUGAACAGAUUGAUCUCAUGCCUCAAUUGGGAUCUGUUACAGGUCAAGAAAGGUGAGUCCCUCAACUUGCUUAGGUAUUCUUCGACAUCCUACGUCAUUUACUGCGAACCGCACAACUUGAUAUAUUGACUUUGGAAAUGACUUCCACAAAGUAAUAGGAGUGGCGUCAUUUUUUGAUAUAUAUAUCCUUUUGACAAUACAAUGCUAACCUUCUUGCAUUUCUCUUCUUUGUUGCUUCCUUGCUUUGGGCUUAGUGAAAACACAGCUUGAUUGGCACGUUUGAGAAUGUCGUGACUUUGGGGUUUCUUUUUCUUCUAUGUGUGACAGGGUCCCUCUUUCAUCAUCUAAGCAGUCCGACCUUUUUUUCACUUAUCAUCAUGCCCCCAUUUAUGAUAGGCAGCUUUGCAAGAGCAAGCUAUGCAAGUCCAACUGGUUCAAUCGAUCCAAAUUGGAUUUCUGAUCUUGACUAUGUAAGGAAUGAGGCUUUCAGGCUUCUGAUCUCUUUGUGAAAGAAUAUAGGAUCAAGGAUCCAAAGACAAUUUGCAAUUUGAGUUAGUAGUUGCCACUUCUUUUUUUUCUUCUUCCAGCGUAAUCUUCCCUUGUCUAGCUAAUCCCCAAAUCUUUCUUUCAACACAAACAGCGUUGAGUGGGUGGGCUGACCAAACGAUAUACUUUCAUAGUUUUGAUCGUUAACCUUCCCAGCCCUCUCCGGUCGCUUCAUCCUCCGGGAGCUAUGACUUUCAAUUCUAUAGUUUGAAUCAGCAUUUUGGGGACUUCAACACAGGAAAAGGGUACUUCUCUGUUUUGCAUCUCUUGUAGUGUGAGUGUUUCUUCAUUUUUCCUUGGGUAGAAUCAGCUUUCCCUACUCCUUCUUUUUGGACUUAGGCAGAGAUCUUGACUGGGGCAUGCGAUUACAUCCAUUGAGUCUUUGGUAUUUGUCUUGAGAAAGACUUAUUGCUCCCUUUUCGAUUGUUGAGUUUGAUUUCGCCCUUGUGGGGGUCUUGAAAAGUAGCUCUUGACUUCCAUUUGUAGCAACGCUGAGUUCCAUUCAUGGUCGCGUAGCCAGAUUCUCAAAGUUCUAGGCUUGAUUCCUUGAAGAAUAAACGCAAACCCCAUUGCAUGCCUUGAAUGCACAUCUCGAUUGCAGAAGUCUCACACAACCUAUGCCUGCAAUUCAGGCCUCAGUUUUCUCCAUCGAUUGAUGUAAUCGACGACUGGUUCAUCUUUCCAUUGUCGAGAACCUAGUAAGCUCAAUCAUACUAACAGUACGACGGUGGCUAUAGAGCGUAUUUCAGUAAACUCUUGUUCUAACUGCUCCCAACUAUCAAUUAAUGCGAGGCGGUCGGGUCGGUGACGUUGCAAUACCAUCAAAGCAUGGCCCUUGAGUGUACGAACAAAAUUGGCUUGACGAGAAAUCUCCAUCGUUCCAGCAGUUAUUGCACGUUCCACAAAAUGGGCAAAUAUGUUAUUUUGGAUUACCUUGGCCACGAAUGGGGUUGAAUUUUGGUGGUUGGUAACCCACAUGCAUCUUUAGUUGAUCGAUCCUUUGAGUGGUAGGGCUUAGCAAUAAGUGAGAGAAGAUUUUGGAGUUCCUUGUCUUUUGAAUAGCACCUAGAAUGAUCUCCUUCAAGUUUGGUCGACAGGGAUUUUGAUCCAUCAGCCAGAUUGUAAGUGAUGUGUUAGUCCUCCUUGUUGUUUUAACAGAAGACUCAGUAACAUCUUUGUAGUUUUGGAGGGUUGUCAGCAGCUUGAUUUGAUUCCCUAAACUUUCCUAACUUGUGUCAUCAUGGACGCCAUUUGGACAUCAGGUCUUCCAUCGUUUUGGCAUAAGCCUCAGAUAGUUUUUGUCCCAAGAUAACAGUUGUUCUUCCAUGGCAAGAGCAUUUGUUGUUCAUGACAUGGCAUGGCAACAGAACUGAAUGAACAGCGGAGAUAUCUGGUAGGUGAGCUUUGAUCGGAGAGUAUCAGAGGAGGACUGGAGUUGAGCUUGCUGAAUCCUCAAUCUCUUUAUCAAUCAUAUCUAUAUUUUGAGCAAAUUUUUGAGUUACAGAGGGGCUUAGGGGGGGGGUGGGGGGGUUGAACGCCUCUUCUAGCAUUGCAGCAGCGUCUUUGCCCCCAAUGUUAACAGUUUCCCCUUACCUUCCUGAAGUUUGAAAAAUUGUUGACGUUUGGUAAGUUGAACCAAAAUAGGAUGAAUUUAGGAUGAAGCGAGGUUUGAGCGGAAAGUCCUCAACAGCAGCCUUUGCUUGCGCUUCGAGUUGUUUGGACCGGACUUUGAGUGCCCGGGCCGUGUUGGUAGUUUGCUGAUAUUUAGAGCCUCCAGCUUCAUUUGAGCAGCCUUAGAAUCGUCCUUCUUAGGGCCAUUGCUAAGUUGCUUGAAUUACUUGUCGAAGAGGAGAUAUGAGAGGCAGAGAAUGUCCCCUGGGCGUGCCAAAAAUUUGUACACACAAAUUUCUUAUCUAAAUAAUAAGAACAGAAAAUCGUAGUAGCAAAUUAUUUUUAUUGCUUUUGAAUAAGCGGAUUACAAUCUCUGAAAUAAUUUCUAAACUAAGAAAUUAAUCCUCUUGAUUCUUCUCUUCUAGAACGUUGACUCGAGGGCUUGAGCUUGAUCCCGAAUUACACGCCGUGUUCCUUCUCCGACUUAUCGAAAAAUAUGAUGAAGGAGAAAGUUCUUAGCGCUUUGAUGUUGAUCUUCAGAGCUCUCUCUUAAAUCUUGUCUUCUGUCCCUUUUCUUUGAAGGGUCAGCCCCCUAUUUAUGUGGAUAGCGGUGAAUUCUGAUAAUCUGAACUGCUUGAUGAUAUUAUCUUUUAUUUAAUUUUAAGAGAUAAUCACUUAAGAGAUACAAAAAAUUAAUAAUAAUUAAUCUCUAUUUUUAAUUGAAGAGAUAAUAAUCAAAGUUAAAAGAGAUUAUCUCUUAUUUAAUUUGGAAGAAUAAUUUUCAAUUUUAAAAAAGAUAUUUAAUCUCUAUUUAAUUGAAGAGAUAAUAAUUAAUAAUAUUAUCUUCUUAUUUAAUUGGACAGUGGCACAUUUUUGAUUGCUUAAAACUUGUCAUUUGAAGCUUUGGUUGGGGUUUUCAUCUAUAUUGUGGCGAUAUUUUAUUCGCUCCAUCUUGCAGAAUUUGACACCUGUCAACAUUUGAUUAGUCAAAAUUUGUGACUUUUUUUUCAUAAGACACUUGCCAAUUUUUUGAUUGGCUAUAAUUUUUUUGAGUGUCUACACUUGUUUUCAUUAUUGGUAUAAAAAAUAGUAUCUUUUAACCCAUUUAUAAUUUUUUAAUGGUUAUUUUUAUUUAAAUAUAUUUUUAUUAUUUAUUUAUUAUAUAACUGGUUGAACAUGUUCAACUACGAUUGAACCAGUGAAUCGAUGCCUUGACUAGUUCAAUCAUCGGUUCGGUUCGAUUCUAAUAACUAUGCUCAUGAUUCAAUCUUCCCCCAAAUUCGCAUGAAAUAUACAAACUUUUCUUAAUAAUAAUUCAAUCAUUUAACUAACGCCCUCUAAAUUUAAAAUUUACAAUUGGUUUCGUUUCAAUAAAACUUACUAUUCAUAACUUUUUUGGAAAAAUUACAGGGAAAAAAAUAGCAUUUGAGCUUGCUAACAUAUUAAAUUCUAAACUUUUAAUUUUAACAAUUAAAACUCAAUACUUUUUAACUUAUCACAAAUCCAACAAUCCAUAGCUUUCAUUUAUUUAUUUUUUGAUAACUCUGUAUCCGGCCUAAAAAUCGACAAAUGUGAAACACGUGGAGGUUAUGCAUGUUUGGCAAAACACAACCAAACAAAAAUCCUGUGUUGGCAAUGGCUUGGGUGUUCUUUAUUCUAUUUGUACGUGGAGGUUAUGAAAAGAGAAAUUAGACAAUUGGCCUAAGAAAGAGCCGACUCGGACGAAGACUUAUUCGGUGAGAGUUAUUUAAGACAUAAUUUUUAUAUUAUGUGAGAAAGAAUUGAGAGAUUUAACUUAAAAUAAAUUGAUAAUAAAUAGAGUAGUUUCAAGAUUAUAUAUAUUGAAUUUUAUUAUAAUCUUUUAUAAUUCUUUAAAAAUAUGAUCUACUGCAAAAAAUUAAGUUAAUCAUAUACCAGUAACCACAUAAUCAAACAAUAUUUGUCUUAUAGUGUAUUGUGAGAGUCAUAUUUUGUUCAUUUUUUUCAAAACAUACGUUUUUAAAAUAUGUGGCUAUUAAUAUCCGAUUAAUCUUUUUUUAUUAACAAGUUCUACUAAAUUAAUAAUUUGGAUCAUGAAAAUAAACCAGCGAUGGGGUCCAAACUCAUAUUUUGUAUGCCAUAAGCUUAAAAAACUGUCACUAAAAAUUACCCUCAUUUAUAAUUAGCUAAAAUAGUUGAGUUCAUUAUUUUGACCGAUCACAAAUAAAAAUAGUGUCAUUUUUAGAUUUUAAAAAAAUAAAAGAAAAUCUGUGGAAUUGAAAUAGAAAACACUAAUCAGCGGUGUUUAAAGGAUAACAAAUAUAUUAAUCAACAUAAAAAAAAUAUAAAUAUAUUUAUAAAUGUAUUAAACUAUAUAGAAAAUAUAUUAACAACAGUAAAAACUGUGAAUUAGCCAUCAAGACUUUGGGAUGGGUGGGAGGUGUCUGCCAAUAUCAUUUUAAAUAUGUAAAUAUUAUAAAUUUCAUUGUAAAAAUCAAUAUUUAAUAAAUAAAUAUGUCAUAUUAUAAUUGAUAUAAAUUGACAUUGAUCGAUUAUAAAUUUAUAUUCAAUUAAUAUAAUUUUUUAUAGUAUUAAUGUUAUUGAUAAGGUUUACAAUAUUAACAAUUUGAAUUUUCAAAAUGAACUCAAAAUACUUAUAGAUUGCACCGAUAAAAUCUAUAUUUGGACCUAAUCCUUUCUUAAAUGUGUCAAUUUCACCAAUCAUUAUGUAGUUAUUCACUUUCCACGUAAAAGACAUUCUUUCCAAAAUUAUCUCACAUUUGUAAUCUAUUCAUUCUCAUUUUCUUUUAUUAUUCUAAUAAAAUGAAUUAUUGAAUUUGAGUUCCUUCGUAUUUUUCUUUCAAAUUCUACAUAUACUUUGAAAAGUCAAAAGCCAUCAAUCCACAAAUCAAUGAGGAAUGGGGGAUAUAAGUUUUAUGGAAAUAAUGGCUACUAGAAAAUAUAAGUAGGGAGAAAUAGAAGAAAAAAAAUUAUCAAAAAAUUAUAAAUUACCGUGUUUAAACUAACUUUUUUUUAUAGAUCUUUUAGUUGUAUUUGGAUUUUUGAGUGUUCUUAUUUAGUGACGGUUUUAAUAGUUUUGAAUCAAAAUUUCAUACUUUUUUUUUUGUUUCUCCUCACGAGAGUAGUUGAAAAUCUAAAAUCUUCAUCUAAUUUUUUUUUUUUUUGAUAUGAAAAAUUUAUAUCUAAUUUUAGUUUUUGUUUAAGUUCACUAAAAAUAAUAAAAAUAAAAACUUUUUAAUCAAUAACAUCCUUUUCCUAAUUUAAACUAAAUCUUUUUACAGUUCAAUUUGCCUUGCUAGGAGGAAUUAAAAAAGGAUAAAAUCUUAAUAAAACGUAAAAUCUUUAAAAAAUUAAAAAAUCACAACAGUUAAAAAAAAGUAGGCCAACGUGGCCAGUAUUAUAGUUUUUAUAGGUAAUUUCAUAAUUAUAACUCUUAUAUUCCACAAAAUCCCAUCGCAUGACAGCACGUGACAUUAUUAGGUUGUAUUUGGAUGGAGGAUUUGGCGAUGGAAAAUAAAAAAUAAAAAAAUUUAGGGAAAUCAACCUGAAUCAUUAGAUCUUUUAACUUUUAUGUUUCCAUUUUUUUUUUCUCGGCAAGAAUCUUUUAUCCAAAAAGUCUAACAAGGAUAUCACAAAUAGAACACUUGCACAAUUUCACAAAUUAUUUUUCAAAUUAUUUUAACAAAACACUCGUCUAUUUGAAUUCCAUGCACUCGGAUUUAUUAAAACAAACAACUAUAUAUGCAUAAUAAUUUGAAACCCUAAAAUAGCGUAGCCGUCGAGACAAUUAACUGCCUUAAAAUAGAUAAAUCAGAAAUAACUACGUUAACUAUCGUGAACGACGAGGCCAUAUUUAACAAAGUCCACACGAAAUCGGGUGCAUCGGUCUGUGGUCCAUCCAGGAUCCAAGAAACGUACAACCUUCCAAGCUUCAGACUAUCGUCGUCAGGAUAAUCUCCUGCUCGAUCCUGAUCCCGUUUGUUUAUUAUCUCUACGCUCAAUAAAUGCAUUUUCUUCGCGAGAAACUUGCAACGUCCCGAAGUAACUUCACAUGUUGCAUCCAAAGGAAUCACAGCGUUUCAUAUCUUUACACAUUAGCUAGAAGUGCAUUAUCACCAAAGCAACGAGCCCAGAUCUCGAAUUUUUGAAGAUUUCUACACCCAUUUAAAGGCUCUAUCGCUGUUCCCAGCAGAUGUGGUCGAAAGCAUUUCUAAAUUAUCGGCAUACAUUCAUGCUUUCCAUCCUAAUUAGUAAAGGGAAUUGAACUGGAGUGAACCAACAAGUACCUACAAACUAAACGUGCUGCUACUAUUAUGGGAUGAAAUACUAAUUCAAAGUCAGCUUCAUAAAGAACUGAUAUAAAACGGUGUAGAGUUUAAUUCUUUCUCCACAUCACUUUCUUCUUCUUCUUCUUCUGCUUCCUUCUCUAAUGUCCUGACCAAUUCUUCUGGCCCGUAAAACCGCUUAUCGGUCCGGGCAAUUUGAAUUUUCAAAAUGAACUCAAAAUACUUAUAGAUUGCAUCUAUAAAAUCCAUUUUUGGACCUGAUCCUUUCUUAAAUAUGUCAAUUUCACCAAUCAUUAUGUAGUUAUUCACUUUCCAUGUAAAAGAAAUUCUUUCCGAAAUUGUCUCACAUUUAUAAUCUAUUUAUUCUCAUUUUCUUUUAUUAUUCUAAUAAAAUGAAUUAUUGAAUUUGAGUUGCUUCGUAUUUUUCCUUCAAAUUCUACAUAUACUUUGAAAAGUCAAAUGUCAUCAAUCCACAAAUCAAUGAGGAAUGGGCGAUAUAAGUUUUGUGGAAAUAAUGGCUACUAGAAAAUAUAAGUUGGGAGAAAUAGAAGAAAAAAAAUUAUCAAAAAAUUAUAAAUUAUCGUGUUUAAACUAACUUUUUUUUUUAUAGAUCUUUUAGUUGUAUUUGGAUUUUUGAGGUUUGUAUUUAGUGAAGUUUUAUAGCUUUUCAAUCAAAAUUUCAUACUUUUUUUUUGUGUUUCUCCUCACGAGAGUAGUUUGAAAAUCUAAAAAUCUUCAUCUAAUGUUUUUUUUUUUGAUAUGAAAAAAUCUUUAUCUAAUUUGAGUAUUUGUGUAAGUUCACUAAAAAAAAUAAAAAUAAAAUACUUUUAAUCAAUAAAAUCCUUUUCCUAAUUUGAACUAAAUCUUUUUACAUUUUCAAAUUUGUCUAGGAGGAAUUAAAAAAAGGAUAAAAUCUUAAUAAAACGAUAAAAAAUCUAUUAAAACAAAUUAAAAAUCAAAACAGUUAAAAAAAAGUAGGCCAAACUUGGCCAAGUAUUAUAGUUUUUAUAGAUUAAUUUCAUAAUUAUAACUCCUUAUAUCAACAAAAUCUCAUCGCAUGUACAUGACAUUAUUAGGCUAUAUUUGGAUGGAGGAUUUGGCAACGGAAAAUAAAAUAAAAAUAAAAAAAUUAGGAAAACCAACUUGGAUCAUUAGAUCUUUUAACUUUUAUGUUUCCAUUUAUUUUUUUUACGGCAAGAAUCAUUUAUCCAAAAA